rnacentral:lncRNA from 1 species
AUUCUGCAGCCACCCAUAUGUCACCACCUACCUGCUUUAUCUCUUUGUCACAUUUUCAUCUCUUUCUACUUCAACUUUCCUUUGAUUCAUCCCCAAAAGCUUUCCCCUAGGCCACUUGGCAGUAUUCCCUCACUAGUCAAAAUCUGGUGGGUCUUUCUUGAGUGAGCUCUCAGAGCUGACCUCCUUUUUUAAGACAUCUAUUUGCAUGCAGGUGGCCAUCGAUGACAUCAAUGGUUUUGCAGUAUUGAGCCACAUUUUGGAUUUUACCUAGAAGAUGUGCAGAAUAUAAAUGUUUUCAUGAGAACAAAAUAUACAGCUGGAUGUUUGUCACAAUUCUAAUGUCCCUGCAAAGAUGAGAUGCAUGAAUCACACAGCAAUCUCAUCAAAAAGGAAUUUCUGGAAGGUAAGAAUAAAACACAAUGGACACUAAAACUUUUCUGCCCACGAAAGUAAGAGGCAUUUGAGAAUUGUUCACUUUAUCUUAUGAGGCAUAGGAGAAGAGAAUCCUGGAAAAAGCAAGAAGCAGGAAGAUAAGAGGCAAAGAAGAAGAGAGCCCCACCCACUGGGGCAAGCUGGGGCCCCAGAUGAUGAAACUGUGGCCCAGAAAGUUUAAGGGAUGUGUCAAAUGUCACACAGCUCACAGAUCCAGGGACAUGGCUUAAAUCCAGAUAUCUUGAUUCUAACUUCAGUUGAGGAAGAGAAAGAGUGCUGCCCCACGCUGCCUGAUUUACAACGUGAAGUGAAAUCUUUGAAAAGAAAAAUAAGACAAUGUCACUCAAGCUCUUAUCUGAGGAUUUCCUGGGUUUGAAGACAGAGCUCAAACUCAUACAAGGGGUCAUCUGAGUCUGCAGAUAGGCUUGCUUUAUGCUGCUCCGUCAGAUCUCUUCUAAAGAUUAGUGCGCAAUUCUGGACAUUACAUUUUAAUGGUAACAUGGAUUCAACUAAAGGCCGCAGCAACUUUGCUUUGUACACUCUGUCUCCUGCCAAGAGAGCCCAGGGAAGGGCACAGUGAAUACCAAAAGAAGAAUAAGACGGAGAGCUAUUCCUCAGUGAAGCAGAGUUUACAACCCUUGUUCAUUUUGGCCAAAGGCCAGCUGACUCUAGUUUACCUAACUUUUAGAGAGUUUCAGAAAAAAAAAUGGAAGUAAUAUCCUGCCUUUGAGUAUGGAGACAAAAUUCUAAUAUCAUAAGAGAGUUAUCAGAGGUUAAGGCAGUUAGAAGGGUUCAUUCAUUCAACAUUCAACACAAACUGUGAACACCUAACAUUUGCCAUGUACAAAGAAGGACGUUCUGCCUUGGACUAACAUCCAUUCCUGUGAGGGAAGAGAAGCAGCAGCCCCCGAGCACUGCCAGCUGCUGCUGCUGCGAUCCCAGUGUCUGAGUUUGUGACUCGCCGGGAGAUUGUCUGUUCCUGCUGCUUCCAAUAUCGUCUUGGCCUUUAUGAAGGCACAUGCACACGACUGUAGCGGCACCCCUGUCUCCGGCCCAUUGUGGACAUGACUGCUCUUCCAGUGUGGCUCCCCUGUGACAGGCACCUGCUCAGCAACCUACAGAAGCUCCCCCAGAUAAGAAAAUUGAGACUCAGAGCAUUUAAGCAGCCAGCCUGGAGUCACAGAGAUUUAAGUCUCAGAGCCAGCACUCAGGAUGAGUGCCAAUGGAAGCCUGUCCUUGGAGUCCAGAAUGAACGUCAGAAGCAACCCAGCCACAGCAGGAGACUGUCCAUGAAUGUCAUCUGGCUGAACCUAAAGGCAAGACCUUUUUAACUUAUCUCAUUCAAGCUUAUUCUUCGUACUCUUUCACUAAUUCCAAUUAAGAAUAUUUCAUGCUCAUGAUAGGAUUUGCCAUUUUUCCCACUUGCCAAGUCCCUGAUUAUUCAUCAUCAUCACCAGCAACAACAGCAGCAGCAGCAGCAGCAGAAAUAGAGAAUUACUUGUUC